rnacentral:rRNA from 1 species
AGAGUUUGAUCCUGGCUCAGGAUGAACGCUAGCUACAGGCUUAACACAUGCAAGUCGAGGGGAAACGACAUCGAAAGCUUGCUUUUGAUGGGCGUCGACCGGCGCACGGGUGAGUAACGCGUAUCCAACCUGCCCACCACUUGGGGAUAACCGUUGCGAAAGUAAGACUAAUACCCAAUGACGUCUCUAGAAGACAUCUGAAAGAGAUUAAAGAUUUAUCGGUGAUGGAUGGGGAUGCGUCUGAUUAGCUUGUUGGCGGGUAACGGCCACCAAGGCUACGAUCAGUAGGGGCUCUGGAGAGGAAGGUCCCCCACAUUGGAACUGAGACACGGUCCAAACUCCUACGGGAGGCA